rnacentral:rRNA from 1 species
UGGCGGCUGGGCAUGCGGCGCAUUAGCUUGACGGCGGGGUAACGGCCCACCGUGGCGACGAUGCGUAGGGGUUCUGAGAGGAAGGCCCCCCACACUGGAACUGAGACACGGUCCAGACUCCUACGGGAGGCAGCAGUGAGGAAUAUUGGUCAAUGGGCGGAAGCCUGAACCAGCCAAGUCGCGUGAGGGAAUAAGGCCCUACGGGUCGUAAACCUCUUUUGCCGGGGAGCAAGGGCGGGGACGAGUCCCGGCCCGGAGAGUACCCGGAGAAAAAGCAUCGGCUAACUCCGUGCCAGCAGCCGCGGUAAUACGGAGGAUGCGAGCGUUAUCCGGAUUUAUUGGGUUUAAAGGGUGCGUAGGCGGGCUUUUAAGUCAGCGGUAAAAAUUCGGGGCUCAACCCCGUCCGGCCGUUGAAACUGGGGGCCUUGAGUGGGCGAGAAGAAGGCGGAAUGCGUGGUGUAGCGGUGAAAUGCAUAGAUAUCACGCAGAACCCCGAUUGCGAAGGCAGCCUUCCGGCGCCCUACUGACGCUGAGGCACGAAAGUGCGGGGAUCGAACAGGAUUAGAUACCCUGGUAGUCCGCACAGUAAACGAUGGAUGCCAGCUGU